UCACGAACAAGGCAAACCAUCUGAAAGGGUGGGACGCAAAGCUUCCGGCCUAAAAGCAAAGACUUAGAGAUAAAGUUCUUGCUCAUGGUAGCGGGGUUGCCGAU
rnacentral:ncRNA from 1 species